rnacentral:rRNA from 1 species
AGCGUACACGGUGGAUGCCCUGGCAGUCAGAGGCGAUGAAGGACGUGCUAAUCUGCGAUAAGCGUCGGUAAGGUGAUAUGAACCGUUAUAACCGGCGAUUUCCGAAUGGGGAAACCCAGUGUGUUUCGACACACUAUCAUUAACUGAAUCCAUAGGUUAAUGAGGCGAACCGGGGGAACUGAAACAUCUAAGUACCCCGAGGAAAAGAAAUCAACCGAGAUUCCCCCAGUAGCGGCGAGCGAACGGGGAGGAGCCCAGAGCCUGAAUCAGUGUGUGUGUUAGUGGAAGCGUCUGGAAAGGCGCGCGAUACAGGGUGACAGCCCCGUACACAAAAAUGCACAUGCUGUGAGCUCGAUGAGUAGGGCGGGACACGUGGUAUCCUGUCUGAAUAUGGGGGGACCAUCCUCCAAGGCUAAAUACUCCUGACUGACCGAUAGUGAACCAGUACCGUGAGGGAAAGGCGAAAAGAACCCCGGCGAGGGGAGUGAAAAAGAACCUGAAACCGUGUACGUACAAGCAGUGGGAGCACGCUUAGGCGUGUGACUGCGUACCUUUUGUAUAAUGGGUCAGCGACUUAUAUUCUGUAGCAAGGUUAACCGAAUAGGGGAGCCGAAGGGAAACCGAGUCUUAACUGGGCGUUAAGUUGCAGGGUAUAGACCCGAAACCCGGUGAUCUAGCCAUGGGCAGGUUGAAGGUUGGGUAACACUAACUGGAGGACCGAACCGACUAAUGUUGAAAAAUUAGCGGAUGACUUGUGGCUGGGGGUGAAAGGCCAAUCAAACCGGGAGAUAGCUGGUUCUCCCCGAAAGCUAUUUAGGUAGCGCCUCGUGAAUUCAUCUCCGGGGGUAGAGCACUGUUUCGGCAAGGGGGUCAUCCCGACUUACCAACCCGAUGCAAACUGCGAAUACCGGAGAAUGUUAUCACGGGAGACACACGGCGGGUGCUAACGUCCGUCGUGAAGAGGGAAACAACCCAGACCGCCAGCUAAGGUCCCAAAGUCAUGGUUAAGUGGGAAACGAUGUGGGAAGGCCCAGACAGCCAGGAUGUUGGCUUAGAAGCAGCCAUCAUUUAAAGAAAGCGUAAUAGCUCACUGGUCGAGUCGGCCUGCGCGGAAGAUGUAACGGGGCUAAACCAUGCACCGAAGCUGCGGCAGCGACACUAUGUGUUGUUGGGUAGGGGAGCGUUCUGUAAGCCUGUGAAGGUGUGCUGUGAGGCAUGCUGGAGGUAUCAGAAGUGCGAAUGCUGACAUAAGUAACGAUAAAGCGGGUGAAAAGCCCGCUCGCCGGAAGACCAAGGGUUCCUGUCCAACGUUAAUCGGGGCAGGGUGAGUCGACCCCUAAGGCGAGGCCGAAAGGCGUAGUCGAUGGGAAACAGGUUAAUAUUCCUGUACUUGGUGUUACUGCGAAGGGGGGACGGAGAAGGCUAUGUUGGCCGGGCGACGGUUGUCCCGGUUUAAGCGUGUAGGCUGGUUUUCCAGGCAAAUCCGGAAAAUCAAGGCUGAGGCGUGAUGACGAGGCACUACGGUGCUGAAGCAACAAAUGCCCUGCUUCCAGGAAAAGCCUCUAAGCAUCAGGUAACAUCAAAUCGUACCCCAAACCGACACAGGUGGUCAGGUAGAGAAUACCAAGGCGCUUGAGAGAACUCGGGUGAAGGAACUAGGCAAAAUGGUGCCGUAACUUCGGGAGAAGGCACGCUGAUAUGUAGGUGAAGUCCCUCGCGGAUGGAGCUGAAAUCAGUCGAAGAUACCAGCUGGCUGCAACUGUUUAUUAAAAACACAGCACUGUGCAAACACGAAAGUGGACGUAUACGGUGUGACGCCUGCCCGGUGCCGGAAGGUUAAUUGAUGGGGUCAGCGCAAGCGAAGCUCUUGAUCGAAGCCCCGGUAAACGGCGGCCGUAACUAUAACGGUCCUAAGGUAGCGAAAUUCCUUGUCGGGUAAGUUCCGACCUGCACGAAUGGCGUAAUGAUGGCCAGGCUGUCUCCACCCGAGACUCAGUGAAAUUGAACUCGCUGUGAAGAUGCAGUGUACCCGCGGCAAGACGGAAAGACCCCGUGAACCUUUACUAUAGCUUGACACUGAACAUUGAGCCUUGAUGUGUAGGAUAGGUGGGAGGCUUGGAAGUGUGGACGCCAGUCUGCAUGGAGCCGACCUUGAAAUACCACCCUUUAAUGUUUGAUGUUCUAACGUUGACCCGUAAUCCGGGUUGCGGACAGUGUCUGGUGGGUAGUUUGACUGGGGCGGUCUCCUCCUAAAGAGUAACGGAGGAGCACGAAGGUUGGCUAAUCCUGGUCGGACAUCAGGAGGUUAGUGCAAUGGCAUAAGCCAGCUUGACUGCGAGCGUGACGGCGCGAGCAGGUGCGAAAGCAGGUCAUAGUGAUCCGGUGGUUCUGAAUGGAAGGGCCAUCGCUCAACGGAUAAAAGGUACUCCGGGGAUAACAGGCUGAUACCGCCCAAGAGUUCAUAUCGACGGCGGUGUUUGGCACCUCGAUGUCGGCUCAUCACAUCCUGGGGCUGAAGUAGGUCCCAAGGGUAUGGCUGUUCGCCAUUUAAAGUGGUACGCGAGCUGGGUUUAGAACGUCGUGAGACAGUUCGGUCCCUAUCUGCCGUGGGCGCUGGAGAACUGAGGGGGGCUGCUCCUAGUACGAGAGGACCGGAGUGGACGCAUCACUGGUGUUCGGGUUGUCAUGCCAAUGGCACUGCCCGGUAGCUAAAUGCGGAAGAGAUAAGUGCUGAAAGCAUCUAAGCACGAAACUUGCCCCGAGAUGAGUUCUCCCUGACUCCUUGA